rnacentral:rRNA from 1 species
GAUGAACGCUGGCGGCGUGCUUAACACAUGCAAGUCGAACGGGAACCAAGGGGUUCUUGCACUUUUUGGUGAGGGUGGCGAGCGAGUGAGUCACACGUGAGUAACCUGUCAUUUUCGUUGAGAUCUGCAUUAGAAAGGGUGUUUACUGCCUUGUGUUCUGUCUGCCUCGCAUGGUGGGGGUGGGAACGGCUUUGGGUGGGGUGGGGGGGGCUCGGGGUCUAUCAGCUGGUUGGGGGGGUGAUGGCUUACCAGGGCUUUGGCGGGUAGCCGGCCUGAGGGGGUAUACGGCCACAUUGGGACUGAGAUACGGCGCAGACGGCAGCGGGGGGCAGCAGUGGGGAAUAUGGCACAAUGGGCGCAAGCCUGAUGGAGCGACGCCGGGUGGGGGAUGACGGCCUUCGGGUUGUAACCUUCUUUCGCGAGGGACGAAGCGCAAGUGACGGUACCUGGAGAAGAAGCACCGGCUAACUACGUG